GCUCAGCGUGACUCCAGCGAACGUUUGUGUGACUCAGUCGCGCUCUGAAGCUGGUCCGAGCCAGACCUGUGAUACCGCGCUCCGUAACGCUGCCAGGGUUCGACACUGACUCACGCGCACCUGGCACCUACGCAAAGCUUUCGUGUGUCAAGUGAUGACAGCGGGCCAGCGCACCGGGCGAGAAGGGUGACGCAACCCUCAAAACCUCCUCGUUACAACCCUACUAGUUAAUAAGGCUAGUGAGACAACACCAUGGCAUGAGGGGCCGGCCGGUAUCUUGAACAGCCCCCUCCCACGCCUCCUUCCGGUUCCUCCUCCUCCUGCACCCCCUCCCCCCUUUCCACUUCCCCCUCCAAGAACUCGGGCUCGCAAAGGAAGAAUUGGAAUUAAGAUUGAAAAUAAAGAGGAGUCGGUGAGAAUCACCCAAAAUAGAAGAAAAAAAAAAUAUGACAGCGUGGCGGACAGGACGCCAAACACUGUCAUGAGCGAACACUGACUUUUCAAUGGUGACAAGUGACACCUACACAGGAAGCCUUGAACGCCGGAUGAUGAAGGGGUGCCAUUAAGUGCCAUAUGUACUGGCGACUCGGGUGAGAAAUCCUUCACCCCCUCUCUCCCCCCCCCCCCCCACCUUCCCCCACUACCUGUGCCACGGUGCCACAACCCCUUCACUCCUUCGCUCCCUUCGCGCUCAGCAUGAAGACCCUUCUCUUGGUGAGUACAUUCUGAACUCC